rnacentral:rRNA from 1 species
UACGUAGGGUGCGAGCGUUAAUCGGAAUUACUGGGCGUAAAGCGUGCGCAGGCGGUUAUUUAAGUCAGGUGUGAAAGCCCUGGGCUUAACCUAGGAAUUGCGCUUGAGACUGGAUAGCUUGGAGUGCGGCAGAGGGAGGCGGAAUUCCACGUGUAGCAGUGAAAUGCGUAGAGAUGUGGAGGAACACCGAUGGCGAAGGCAGCCUCCUGGGCCAGCACUGACGCUCAUGCACGAAAGCGUGGGGAGCAAACAGG